GUCUUCUUGUUUAUAUAAGAAGUCUGACCUGCCCAGUGAAUAGUUUUUAACGGCCGCGGUAUUUUGACCGUGCAAAGGUAGCAUAAUCAUUAGUCUUUUAAUAGGGGGCUGGUAUGAAUGGUUUGACGAGGUGCUAACUGUCUCAUUUAAUAAUUUAUUAAAAUUUAACUUUUUAGUCAAAAGGCUAAAAUUUUCUUGGUAGACGAGAAGACCCUAUAGAGCUUUAUAAUGUAUUAAUUAAUUUUAUUUAGGUUUAUUAUUUUAAUUAAUAUUUUACAUUAUUCUGUUGGGGUGACAAAAAUAUAUAAUUAACUUUUUAAUUUAUAAAACAUUAAUUUAUGAUCUGUUAGAUCCAAUUUCUUAUUGAUUGAUAGACUAAGUUACCUUAGGGAUAACAGCGUAAUCUUCUUUCAGAGUUCAAAUUUACAAGAAGGCUUGCGACCUCGAUGUUGGAUUAAGAUUAUAAUUAGGUGUAGCCGCUUAAUUUAUAGGUCUGUUCGACCUUUAAUUUCUUACAUGAUCUGAGUUCAAACCGG
rnacentral:rRNA from 1 species